rnacentral:tRNA from 1 species
GCGAAGGUGGCGGAAUUGGUAGACGCGCUAGCUUCAGGUGUUAGUGUCCUUACGGACGUGGGGGUUCAAGUCGCCCCCCUCGCACCA